ensembl:snoRNA
AGCCUUUGGUAGUUCGUGAGCAUGAUGAUUGGGUGUUCACGCAUGUGUGUGAGAUGUGCCGCCUUCAAACCUUUUUACAAUGUACAAUGUGAACGCAUUACCUGUCUGACA